AUACGGAGGGUGCGAGCGUUGUUCGGAAUUACUGGGCGUAAAGGGCGCGUAGGCGGCCUGUCAAGUCAUAUGUGAAAGCCCACGGCUCAACCGUGGAAGUGCAUGUGAAACUGGCAGGCUUGAGUACUGGAGGGGAAAGUGGAAUUCCCGGUGUAGAGGUGAAAUUCGUAGAUAUCGGGAGGAAUACCGGUGGCGAAGGCGACUUUCUGGACAGAUACUGACGCUGAGGCGCGAAAGCGUGGGGAGCAAACAGGAUUAGAUACCCUGGUAGUCCACAGCUGUAAACGAUGUGCACUAGGUGUAGGGGGUCGUUGACCCUUUCUGUGCCGGAGCUAACGCAUUAAGUGCACCGCCUGGGGAGUACGGUCGCAAGAUUAAA
rnacentral:rRNA from 1 species